UACGAAGGGGGCGAGCGUUGUUCGGAUUUACUGGGCGUAAAGGGCGCGCAGGCGGCUUAUUUUGUCAGGCGUGAAAGCCCCGGGCUUAACCUGGGAACUGCGUUUGAUACGGAUGGGCUAGAGUUCGGGAGAGGAGCGUGGAAUUCCCAGUGUAGAGGUGAAAUUCGUAGAUAUUGGGAAGAACACCGGUGGCGAAGGCGGCGCUCUGGACCGAGACUGACGCUGAGGCGCGAAAACGUGGGGAGCAAACAGG
rnacentral:rRNA from 1 species